rnacentral:rRNA from 1 species
CUCUUAGAUGUUCUGGGCCGCACGCGUGCUACACUGAGUGGAUCAGCGGGUCAGGUUGCGCGAAAGUGUUUCCUAAUCUUUAAAUCCGCUCGUGAUGGGGAUUGACGGUUGCAAUUUUCCGUCAUGAACGAGGAAUACCUUGUAAGCGCGGGUCAUCAUCCCGCGCUGAAUACGUCCCUGCCCUUUGUACACACCGCCCGUCGCUCCUACCGAUUGAGUGGUCCGGUGAGGCUUUGGGAUCUGAGCGGAAAGAGCGUUUCGCUGUUUCUGCCCGGAAAACUCAGUCGAACCUUAUCAUUUAGAGGAAGGAGAAGUCGUAACA